GUUGGACGGCUACUUGAGGUAUUUCUACUCUAACUUCAGUUUACGUUUUGGAUAUUCUGCUCACUUUUGUUUCCAUCUUGAAAUUAAACUACAAAUUUCUCAAUUUUUUGCAGAAAUUUGCUCCUUUUUUCUUCCUUUAUCUAAAAUCAAUGACCCUAUUACUCUGAUAAAGUAUAAAAUUAAAUAUUAAACAUAUCAGCAGCUCCAGAGUGUCUCGGUUUUGUUGUGUGAGAAACGUCAGUACUGAAGUCGGAGCUGUAACUCAGCUUGUCCUCCGUCUCCCGUCUUCGUUCUUCACUCAGUUCAUUCACAAACCAUUUGUUUGUCAGCAUGCUACAAAAACUUCACUUUCAUGUCAGUGUCAUAAAUCCUCUUUCUUUUGCUUUUUUCCAUCCCCUGACAAAAACAGAGAAAAAUCUCAGGUUUUUGGAUAGUCUGCUAGCAGUAUGUUUUUUACUUUUUGUGCCAUAAAGGUAGCUUUAUAUUCACAACAAAGGCGAGUGUCGCAGUCUCCAGAAGCUCUGAAGGAUCUGUGGCGUUUUAUUGUUUGUGUUUUUACACAACAUACCAGCGGGGUUCGCCGAGACUGGGAAGGCGGUAACCUCAGGGAGUCGGAAGUGGCAGCGACAAACACUCCAAACGAAAGAGAAAAGGCCUCAGCGGUGGGGAACAGAGAGGCUUUUUUCAGCCAGCGUCUCAUAUCUAACAAACUCAGAAUCAAAGCAGAACGACGGCUUUAAAGAAAUAGUUGGAGCAGAACUUUCCCCACUGAUGUGUUUCUGCCCCAGUUUCCAUGGCAGAGAAAUAUUUCAGUGACUCUGAGCUCAAAGAGAAUCUUUAAGAUUUUAUCUUGUUCAGAUCUACGAAGGAAUCCGUCUCUUUUCUUUUGGCAUGAAGACACAGAAACAUGAAAACUCAACAUGGGCAUUUGAAUGGGGCAUAAAUAAUGAUAAUGACGCCUCCAGGUUCUGUGGCGUUUCUCCAGGACGAGCCGUGCAGCAGAGCGAAGGGCAGACUGAGACGCUGCUCCUCAACGACUCGUUACGCAGACAGCCAUCCAUCUCCGGCGGAGGAUGAGUUGAGCUGGAGGACACUGUGGGCCCAUUUCCCUCAUUACCCAAAAUCCUCGGCUGCUCUCAGAGGAACCGCGUCCAUUUUAAUAACUGGUUGUCAGACAAGUUUCCAAAGGCUUUAAUGCAUCUGCUGUAACGAAUGACAGCGGUGACCUUCUGACUGCUGCGAGCGCCGAGAAAAAGUGAGCAGCAAUUAGAGCAAAUUUACCUUCCUAUUGUCCACUUUUAUAAUGACGACAUGAUUUAUUCUUAUGUUGCUAAUAUUUUAUACUGAAUAAAGUUAUAAUGAGGCCGCAGUGCAA